UACAGAGGGUGCAAGCGUUAAUCGGAAUUACUGGGCGUAAAGCGUGCGUAGGCGGUUACAUAAGUCGGGUGUGAAAGCCCCGGGCUCAACCUGGGAAUUGCAUUCGAGACUGCGUAGCUAGGGUGCGGAAGAGGGAAGCGGAAUUUCCGGUGUAGCGGUGAAAUGCGUAGAUAUCGGAAGGAACACCAGUGGCGAAAGCGGCUUCCUGGUCCAGCACUGACGUUCAGGCACGAAAGCGUGGGGAGCAAACAGG
rnacentral:rRNA from 1 species